AAAAAAACUAAUUAAAUUGAGAGAAAGUAAUGAACGCCUAACUUUAGCUAUCAGUUUUUUAUAUACAGCAGCUUUGAAAAAGGCAUAUUUAAAUUUUUUCCUGUGGUAUUAAACUUGCCACUGUUAAUAACUUCUAAUGCCAACUGCCAAAUAUGACACUUACAAAGUAAUAUAAUUUAUGAAUGAAUAUAGAAAAGAAAGAAAGUUGGGAUUUUUUUUUUCAUUGUUUUGUUUUGUUUUAUUUUAUUUAUUCAUUUAAGUUACCUUUAUUUAUUUAUUUUUUUUAUUUUAUUUUACACAUAUCUAGUAAUUUCCACACGGGCACACAUUGCGGGUGAUAACCUUCCCGUGCUGAUUUGCAUCGUAUCAUGCAUGUGUAGAUAGCCAGAGAUAUUGUCAAAAGCAUAAAAAAUUGGCAAUAUUAAGAGGAUUUAGCAUUUCCAAUUAAUGUAGGUCUGUUACAUUCUUCUUAUUAUUAGGCCUAUUAUUAUUAUUAUUAGAUUACUUUUCUUAUUAAAUUACAUUAAAUUAUUGCCCCGCAAUAAUUUCAUAGCGCAUCACCGCAUGAUGCGCUGUGAAAGGCUAUUCGUUUACUUCUCAUUGAAAAGUUUUUUUUUUCCUUUUUAAAAACAGGUCUAUUAAUUUAUACAAUUAAUUAUAGGACUAUAAUUAUUAUUACUGCAGUCAUCAAUGAAAAUUCAGAGCAGCUUUAUUUCAUGCACCGAUUUUCAAAAACAACCUGUUUAACGCGAAAUACGUUUCGUCUCGUGUUUUUCACUUUAGGAGCCACAAGAGAAAUAUUAAGGGAAUAAUUUAAGACAGUUAUAUACCGUUAUCAGCAUAUGUUAAAUUAGAUUCGUCUCUCGGUGCCUCGGAGAGAAUAUGCGCCGUUACUGCAGCGUUAACCGUCAGUAUUUUUACUUUCACUUUCUCUAGUGAAUUGACGUUCACCGUCUUGCUCAAACUUUGCCCGUUGCUUGCUCGAGUUGCUUGACCCCUCCCUCAUAUUAUUAAUUGUUUAUAGGCCACAUAAUAGGCACUUUUUUUUUUUUUAGGUUUUUAAUAUUUAUUUUUCAAUGUUAAUGAGAGUGACACCACAGUUAAAAAACAGGAACACCAUUAGGAAAUCCUUGGUGGGGCUGUGCUGGGGCUAAGCAAGUUUCUGAUGGGGCUAUAAGUAUGAAGGUACAUUUGGUGCAAAACAACUGAGCGUCUGUGACAGCGGAAUUUGUAGUUGUAGAGAAGAGUCACACAUGUGUAUCAGUAAAUUUGAAGUCACAGACAAAAGUUUCAAACUUGUAGAUUUUUUCUCUCUCCCACAAACACAACACAACAGUUACACCUUCUCGAAUCCUUCAUUGCAGAUAUACAAAUCCUAUUCUACGGAUCACAAAUCAAGAAACUCGUACGCUCACAUGUUUUGCUGCUAUUGCUGCAGUGAAUAUGGUGCAAAACACACUCACACACCUGCAUCAAAAAUGUGAAGUCGCGGACUAAUUUUGUACAUCCGCAAAUCAGUAUUUGAAUCCUUGCAAUGAGAUUUGCACACUUGUAGAAUGUUUUCUUACAUAUAUAUUUUUUUUUCUUGGAUGCUUUUUCUAGCACAAACACAAGUGCAUAACGACAACGGCUUGAAUCUGCUGCUACGAGUCUCAGAUGCUGUUUUUCACUUGCAAAUGACAAGUUUCGCGCACUCUCCUUUUUGCACCACAUAUCUGUGUGACAAAUGGAGCAAAAGUGAUUUGUGCAUCUGUAGAGGCAGCGGCGGCCCUCUGCAGAGAUCAGAGAAGUUCGGCCAAUCAGAAGAGCUACACUGUAUCAGGUUUUUGUUAUUCUUUAUAGUUCUUCGGUUUUUUAUGAUCAAGUUUGUGGAUCUUAUCGUCUGCAACGUCGAGGGUGUAUUUUGGAGCCAUCGCGACAGUGAUUACAUCAGCUGGUUUUAGUCUAUUAGUGAUGUCACCUGCAACGGAGGUGUAUUGGAGUCUUUUCCUGUGAUUGAAUCAUGGAGGUGGUAACAACAGGAGAUUGCUCCAAGCAAAAACAGGGAUGCUGACUAUGAAGGGCAGAAUCACAAUAUGGUCAGCUGUCAAUUUGAUUCAAAUUAGUUUGUGGUCUGGAUCAUGUCAUCUGCAAUACAUUCCAGUUGGAGGCUUUUUUUGUGAUUGCUAUUGUGACAGGAAUGACAUCAACUGGUAGGUUAGCCGAAGUAAACUAGUUAGUUUUAGUUUUUUUUUUUUUUUUAAUCGUUAUCCAUUCCCUUGAUAAUCAACCCCAUUAUUUCAGCAAUAUAACACUAAGCUCACAAUGUCAAAUGCAGAAACGUUAAUUCAUACGUUCAUGACCUCGAGGCUAGAUUAUUGUAAUGCUUUAUUGGGUGGUUGCUCUGCACAUUUAAUAAACAAACUCCAGUUGGUCCAAAAUGCAGCAGCUAGAGUUCUUACUAGAACCAGGAAGUAUGACCAUAUUAGCCCGGUUCUGUCAACACUGCACUGGCUCCCUAUUAAACAUCGGAUAGAUUUUAAAAUCUUGUUAAUUACUUAUAAAGCCCUGAAUGGUUUAGCUCCUCAGUACUUGAGCGAGCUCUUAUCACAUUAUAGUCCUCCAUGUCUGCUGCGUUCUCAAAACUCUGGCCGUUUGAUAAUACCUAGAAUAUCAAAACUGCGGGCGGCAGAUCCUAUUCCUAUUUAGCACCCAAACUCUGGAACAGUCUACCUAACACUGUUCGGGAGGCAGACACACUCUGUCAGUUUAAAUCUAGAUUAAAGACCCAUCUCUUUAGCCUGGCUUACACAUAACACACUAAUACGCUUCUAUUAUUCAAAUCUGUUAAAGGAUUGUUAGGCUGCAUUAAUUAGAUCAACCGGAACCGGUUUACACUUCCCAUAACACCCAAAGUACUCGUUACACCGUUAGAAGAAUGGUAUCUACGUUAAUAUUAGUCUGUUUCUUUCUUAUUCCGAGAUCACCGUAACCACCCGAUCCAGUCCGUAUCCAGAUCAGAUGGUGGAUCAGCACUUAGAGAUGACCUCUACAGCCCUGAACGUCAGAGAUCAGGACACCUAGAUGAGCCCCAGAGACUGAUCCCCAGUGAAGACCCUGUCCCCUAGACGGCCAUCGGGACAGGACCACGGGAACCAGAUGAGUCCUCUGCACAAUCUGACUCUGCUGCAGCAUGGAACAACCUGCUGGAAUGCAUUAUAAGGAAUGGAUUAUAAAUGUAAUGAUUUGUGAUGGAUUAUCAACUAAUUAUGCACCUUCCCUGUAGGUUCAUUCCGAGUAUCAACCCCGGUGGCAUACCAUUCAGAGUCACAGAUUAGAUGGAGUUCUGGGAAGAGGGUGCAAAGACAAAGCAUCAGCCUGAAUCCCCUCAUGGUGUUUCUCAUCAGAGAGCUUGUCAACUUUGCCAAAAUUACUGAAAUUUAACACAAUACAAACACAUUUUUACUGUAUUUUUAUUUCUGUGAAGUCUGUUUUGCCAUGCUGCAGACACAAAGUCCCCAGGGGACUGUGGUGAUGCCCUUUUUCAGCUAGCACAUGCUGGAGAUGAAGAUUUGUAAUUUGUAUUUUUAAAAAGAACAUGUUCAACAAUUAAAAAGAAUAUUAUAAAGACAAAUGCUAAUGAGUUAGUGAUCUUUAUGGGU